rnacentral:tRNA from 1 species
CGGAACGUAGCGCAGGUGGUAGCGCGCCUGAUUUGGGGUCAGGAGGCCGCGAGUUCGAGUCUCGCCGUUCCGA